rnacentral:rRNA from 1 species
CCUACGGGGAGCUGCAGUGGGGAAUAUUGGACAAUGGGCGAAAGCCUGAUCCAGCCAUGCCGCGUGUGUGAAGAAGGCCUUCGGGUUGUAAAGCACUUUCAGUGGGGAAGAAAGCCUUGGGGCUAAUACCCUCGAGGAAGGACAUCACCCACAGAAGAAGCACCGGCUAACUCCGUGCCAGCAGCCGCGGUAAUACGGAGGGUGCGAGCGUUAAUCGGAAUUACUGGGCGUAAAGCGCGCGUAGGCGGUCUGAUAAGCCGGUUGUGAAAGCCCCGGGCUCAACCUGGGAACGGCAUCCGGAACUGUCAGGCUAGAGUGCAGGAGAGGAAGGUAGAAUUCCCGGUGUAGCGGUGAAAUGCGUAGAGAGCGGGAGGAAUACCAGUGGCGAAGGCGGCCUUCUGGACUGACACUGACGCUGAGGUGCGAAAGCGUGGGUAGCAAACAGGAUUAGAUAACCGAGUAGUC